UACGUAGGGUGCAAGCGUUGUCCGGAAUUAUUGGGCGUAAAGAGCUCGUAGGCGGUUUGUUGCGUCGGCUGUGAAAUCCCGAGGCUCAACCUCGGGUCUGCAGUCGAUACGAGCAAACUAGAGUGUUGCAGGGGAGACUGGAAUUCCUGGUGUAGCGGUGAAAUGCGCAGAUAUCAGGAGGAACACCGGUGGCGAAGGCGGGUCUCUGGGCAACAACUGACGCUGGAGGAAGCGAAAGCGUGGGGAGCAAACAGG
rnacentral:rRNA from 1 species